AUUGAACGCUGGCGGCAUGCUUUACACAUGCAAGUCGAACGGUAACAGGCCGCAAGGUGCUGACGAGUGGCGAACGGGUGAGUAAUGCAUCGGAACGUGCCCAGUCGUGGGGGAUAACGCAGCGAAAGCUGCGCUAAUACCGCAUACGAUCUAUGGAUGAAAGCGGGGGACCGUAAGGCCUCGCGCGAUUGGAGCGGCCGAUGUCAGAUUAGGUAGUUGGUGGGGUAAAGGCUCACCAAGCCAGCGAUCUGUAGCUGGUCUGAGAGGACGACCAGCCACACUGGGACUGAGACACGGCCCAGACUCCUACGGGAGGCAGCAGUGGGGAAUUUUGGACAAUGGGCGCAAGCCUGAUCCAGCAAUGCCGCGUGCAGGAAGAAGGCCUUCGGGUUGUAAACCGCUUUUGUACGGAACGAAACGGUCCUGGUUAAUACCCGGGGCUAAUGACGGUACCGUAAGAAUAAGCACCGGCUAACUACGUGCCAGCAGCCGCGGUAAUAC
rnacentral:rRNA from 1 species